CAAAAGUUUGGUCCUGACUUUAUUGUCUGCUUUAGCCCGACUUACACAUGCCAGUAUCCGCGGCCCAGUGAAGAUGCCCUCACCCAUCCGUCCGAGGAAGAGGGGCCGGUAUCAGGCACAGUUCUUAGCCCAAGACGCCUUGCUCAGCCACGCCCUCAAGGGAAUUCAGCAGUGAUAAACAUUAAGCCAUAAGUGUAAGCUUGACUUAGUUAGGGUUAAUUAGGGUCGGUAAAACUCGUGCCAGCCACCGCGGUUAUACGAGAGACCCAAGUUGACAGACUCGGCGUAAAGAGUGGUUAUGGGUACAAUAAGCUAAAGCUGAACGCCUCUCAGGCUGUUAUACGCCCCCAGAAGGCGGAAACUCGCAGACGAAAGUAGCUUUACCAGAUAGACCAGAGCCCACGAUAGCUAGGGUACAAACUGGGAUUAGAUACCCCACUAUGCCUAGCCGUAAACUUAGGCAUUUAAGUACAAUAAAUGCCCGCCUGGGGACUACAGGCACCAGCCUAAAACCCAAAGGACUUGGCGGUGUUUCAGACCCCCCUAGAGGAGCCUGUUCUAGAACCGAUAACCCUCGUUUAACCUCACCACCCCUUGCCUCUUCCGCCUAUAUACCGCCGUCGCCAGCUUACCCUGUGAGGGACCUCCAGUAAGCAAAACGGGCACCACCCAGAACGUCAGGUCGAGGUGUAGCGCAUGGGAUGGGAAGAAAUGGGCUACAUUACCUGGCUCAGGUAACUUACGAAAGACCAUUUGAAAUUCAGUGGUAUGAAGGUGGAUUUAGCAGUAAAAGGGGAAUAGAGUGCCCCUUUGAAGCCGGCUCUGAAACGCGCACACACCGCCCGUCACUCUCCCCAACACACCAAGAUCAUAGACCUAAAGCACAAGAUAGGGAACAAGGGGAGGCAAGUCGUAACAUGGUAAGUGUACCGGAAGGUGCACUUGGAAUAAC
rnacentral:ncRNA from 1 species